rnacentral:rRNA from 1 species
AUGAACGCUAGCUACAGGCUUAACACAUGCAAGUCGAGGGGCAGCAUGGUCUUAGCUUGCUAAGGCCGAUGGCGACCGGCGCACGGGUGAGUAACACGUAUCCAACCUGCCGUCUACUCUUGGACAGCCUUCUGAAAGGAAGAUUAAUACAAGAUGGCAUCAUGAGUCCGCAUGUUCACAUGAUUAAAGGUAUUCCGGUAGACGAUGGGGAUGCGUUCCAUUAGAUAGUAGGCGGGGUAACGGCCCACCUAGUCUUCGAUGGAUAGGGGUUCUGAGAGGAAGGUCCCCCACAUUGGAACUGAGACACGGUCCAAACUCCUACGGGAGGCAGCAGUGAGGAAUAUUGGUCAAUGGGCGAGAGCCUGAACCAGCCAAGUAGCGUGAAGGAUGACUGCCCUAUGGGUUGUAAACUUCUUUUAUAAAGGAAUAAAGUCGGGUAUGGAUACCCGUUUGCAUGUACUUUAUGAAUAAGGAUCGGCUAACUCCGUGCCAGCAGCCGCGGUAAUACGGAGGAUCCGAGCGUUAUCCGGAUUUAUUGGGUUUAAAGGGAGCGUAGAUGGAUGUUUAAGUCAGUUGUGAAAGUUUGCGGCUCAACCGUAAAAUUGCAGUUGAUACUGGAUAUCUUGAGUGCAGUUGAGGCAGGCGGAAUUCGUGGUGUAGCGGUGAAAUGCUUAGAUAUCACGAAGAACUCCGAUUGCGAAGGCAGCCUGCUAAGCUGCAACUGACAUUGAGGCUCGAAAGUGUGGGUAUCAAGCAGGAUUAGAUACCCUGGUAGUCCACACGGUAAACGAUGAAUACUCGCUGUUUGCGAUAUACAGCAAGCGGCCAAGCGAAAGCGUUAAGUAUUCCACCUGGGGAGUACGCCGGCAACGGUGAAACUCAAAGGAAUUGACGGGGGCCCGCACAAGCGGAGGAACAUGUGGUUUAAUUCGAUGAUACGCGAGGAACCUUACCCGGGCUUAAAUUGCAGAUGAAUUACGGUGAAAGCCGUAAGCCGCAAGGCAUCUGUGAAGGUGCUGCAUGGUUGUCGUCAGCUCGUGCCGUGAGGUGUCGGCUUAAGUGCCAUAACGAGCGCAACCCUUGUUGUCAGUUACUAACAGGUUCCGCUGAGGACUCUGACAAGACUGCCAUCGUAAGAUGUGAGGAAGGUGGGGAUGACGUCAAAUCAGCACGGCCCUUACGUCCGGGGCUACACACGUGUUACAAUGGGGGGUACAGAGGGCCGCUACCACGCGAGUGGAUGCCAAUCCCCAAAACCUCUCUCAGUUCGGACUGGAGUCUGCAACCCGACUCCACGAAGCUGGAUUCGCUAGUAAUCGCGCAUCAGCCACGGCGCGGUGAAUACGUUCCCGGGCCUUGUACACACCGCCCGUCAAGCCAUGGGAGCCGGGGGUACCUGAAGUGCGUAACCGCGAGGAGCGCCCUAGGGUAAAACUGGUGACUGGGGCU